GGUGAGGUGGGAGAGUGGCCGAAUCCAAUAGUUUGCUAAACUGUCGUACGCUUAACCGUGUACCGCGGGUUCGAAUCCCGCCCUCACCG
rnacentral:tRNA from 2 species